UACGUAGGGUGCAAGCGUUAUCCGGAAUUAUUGGGCGUAAAGAGCUCGUAGGCGGUUUGUCGCGUCUGCUGUGAAAACUGGGGCUCAACCCCCAGCCUGCAGUGGGUACGGGCAGACUAGAGUGCGGUAGGGGAGAUUGGAAUUCCUGGUGUAGCGGUGGAAUGCGUAGAGAUCCGGAAGAACACCGGUGGCGAAGGCGGUCUGCUGGGCAGUUGCUGGACACUGAGACACGAAGGCCAGGG
rnacentral:rRNA from 1 species